UGCCAGCUCCGGCUUCUGGGUGUUAGGGGCGGCUCCGCAGGGGUUUUGGCUUGUUCGGGCUGUUCCGAUGGGAGCGACAGGUUUAAAGCAUCCUCAUAGACACUCAUCUGAAUGUAUAGUGAAUGCAGAAAGUACUGAAGACACUCUGAAGCUGCUUUUGGAGACAAAGGCUGCCAUAUUUGUGAUGGCAUUCCUUUAUGUUGGCAUAAUGUACAAAGAAAUCUGGACAAUGGUUACUUUUCAGCAAAAAAUUUUACACUUGGUCAAGUGUUUCAGAAGACAAUGGCCUUUAUUUUCCAACUCUGAAAGGACUACUGUGUGUGGAGCAGACUGCAUGUUGAUGGCGUUACAACUGUCCAUGGCUGAAGUCAAUAAACAGCACCAUGGAGACUUCACAGUAUCACUCAGUGAUGUUUUGGAGAUGUGGAACUACUUGUUACAUGACAAACUGGGAUUGUAUGAAAACAUGAAUGAACCUGAAAAUUAUGCUGAUGUGAAAAAAGCCUAUCAUGCCUUUUUAGCAAGAAGCAAUAUGUUAGAUUUAAUAGACAUAUAUCAGAAGUGCUCUAGUCUUGGGCUUUUAGCUGAAGAUGAAAUCAUAUCCCCUGUUCAACUGUUGGAAUUUAUUUCCGGUGUAAUGAAUGCACAAGAAAAUAAUGGUUCUAUUCUUUCUACUCCUAUACAAAUCAACAGACAGGGUCAGGAGCAUAUGAAGGUGACAAUCCUGGCAAAGAAGUUUGUUUGUUCAUAUUUAAGCCUUUUGGUGAAUUCUAAGGAUGAUCUGGCAUUGGCUCAUAUUCUGAAUGUUCCUGACAGAGGACUUGGUAGAGAAGCCUUCACUAACCUGAAACAUGCCUCCCAAGAGAGAAAAAUGUCCAUUUUUCUGAUGGCAACAUCUUUUAUCCGGACCAUAGAACUUGGAGGAAGAGACUCUGCAUCUUCUAUGUAUGAUCUUUUAAGAGCCCAUGUAAAAGGGCUUUCCAACUUUGUUAAUUUUAUUGACAAGCUGCAAGAAAUUGUUGGUGAAGUCUUAAAUACAAGAAUCGCAGGGGGGCGAAUUCUGUCAACAGUGAAGAUGCAUUUGAUAAAAGGCCGGAGCAAUGGGGAUCCUUUCUGUGAGGCAGUGGAGGAAGCUGUACAAGACUUGGAUUUGAAGAUUAAAAAUAUUAUUGAUUCACAACAGGAAACCUUGACUGCUAGCACUACUGGAGUCAGUCCAGCACGGCCAAAAUUGCAUUCCAUAAAUCAUGGCACUGCAUAUUGUGGCAGAGAUACUGUAAAGGUCUUGCUAGUUCUUCUGGAUGAAGAAGCUGUCAGUCCUCCCACCCAGAACAAAGCGGAUCUGUUGUGCGACAGUGAAAGCUUAAAUUUGUGUGGCAUCACCUCUGUUUUGACACUCUUCAGAUCUCCAGCACGAUCCAAUGGCUCUUCUCCAAAACCUCUUGGCCAACGUAUUCUGAAAUGUAUGGAUGAAAAAGUCAUUAAGAUGAAGCAAUCUUCAAUUAAAUCCCAAUUUGCCUGUACGUAUAAAAAUGACUUGAGUGAAAAGAGUGGUCAGCAUUCCCAUGCAAUUCCAACCUGCAAACAUCCUGUACCAAAGCAACAUUUAAAAGCUGGAAAGUCCACAGGUUCCAUAAUUUCAUCUGGUGACACUUCCUUUCAUCGAGGCUCUUGAGCCACUUUCCAUGCCAGUUCUAUUUUAGGAUGAAUGGAGCCUGAUCACCCUGCUAAGCAAAGUAUCCUGCAGAUGGCACAUUCAUUCUUCAUUCUUGUGGAUGGCAUGUUCUCACAUUCUGUAGUUUCUGUUUCCUGUGUUCCCUCUACUUGUGUUCUUCAAAUGUACUUCCUGAAAGUUUAGAAAGAAAAAUUCAUUGCAGUACCCCUCCUGAGUGCUACCUCUCCUGAUGCUGUAGAAAGAUACAAGGUCUUUCCUGUCUGUAAAAAACAGUGCUCUCCUGCCUAUGUUUUAAAUUGGGAAGAGGACAGCUGCCUAAAGAUGACAUCAUUCCUUAGUCCUCCAAGGAAAGUGGUGUGGAGAUUCAUCAAAGAGCUGGCAGUAACUGCUGAAUUCUCUGCUGUCCUACACAGAGAUUAAAAGCCCAUUAUUUCCUGGGAUUGUUUGUACACAGCCAAGUCGGAUGUGCAGUUGCCCUGUUAUGACUAAAUAGAAAUGAAGGAACAGUAAAUUCACAAAAAUAUACCCACAGCUGUGCCACAUUCGGUCUUGCUCCCAUUUAAAGCAUGGAAGGGCAAAUUCUGUUCCUGGAUAUGCAGGUGUCCAGAUCCAGCUGAACUGUAGGUACAAGAACUGAGAAUCCCUGCAAUUAAGACAUCUGAGGCAGAGGACGUACACAAGACCGCAAUUAACGUGUGACUGCAUGAGAUGACCACACGACUUUCAGCCUUGCUGUUCACAUUCACAGGAUGUCCUUGGCAUGCAGUCAGCUCCUGUAAGGAUACUUCCUCCUUUCUUUGCUCUACGCCAUAAACACUCUGAUCCGUCACCCUGCUUUUCACAAAGGAGCCUUCUCAUUGCUGCCCUUAAACAUUGCCAUUGGCCUUUCUCUGACUGCGUGCUACUGGUCAUGGCAUUGAAGAGGCGUGAAGAAGGGAGCAGGAGGCUCCAAGAAAGGAGCUGACCCUACUGCCCAGAAGGAAAGCAGUAUUGUUCUGCCCUGGUGCUAGCCAUUCUUGGCCUGCUUUGCCGGUAUCCCCUGUCCUUCCCAAAGAGGUGACUACAAGGAAUUUAGCUACAUGGAACAGGUGCCAUACAUCUGCUGGGAUUUCCUCCAAUUUAGUCAAAGAACAAGGGCAUUGCCUGUGAAGCAGGUGGACUGGCAGUGUGGAGAGUGCUGUAAGGAUCACUCAGCUCUUCAAAAUGCCUGUGGGGAGAGCAUGGAUUGCCACUGUUGAUACAAAUACAGGGAAGACCUUGACCUUGGUGGAUACUGCUCUUGCAAGCAUAUUCAGGUAUCAGUCACUGUGAUCACUCAGUCCAGAGCUGUGUAUGUGACACAGGGUAGUUCACCAAUCCUAUGAGUCCCAGUAGACAUCUCCAAAAGAAAUCACCAGUCUGAAGUACAGAAACAUGGAUUCCAAAGUUAAUCAGACUGCAUUCACAUCGACCAAAAUCUGCCUAUCUCACCAGGGAGAUGCUCUGCAUUACAGAGAGAAUGAACUUUAAGCCUUCAGCCUUCCCAUUUGCUUUUCUGGGGAUAAAUUCAGACAGAGAAAAUGAAUGGAUAUGUUCCCAUUCCUGUGGAAAAUUUUGGAGGUACCUCACAUAAUUUAUAAUUGAUUUUCCACUAAACUGUUGAAGAAUCAUUUUUACUUCUGUUGCUAAAGUGCAGCACCAGCAAAAAAACCUAGAGAACAUCUUGGCAAAUUCUUCAGAAAUUACCUUUACCUCAAAAACCGGAAAGUAUGAUAUUUUUUUGUUUGUUUUUAGGGCUUCUUGGGAGUUUUUCUUGCAUUUGAAAAAGAAAAUAUUGUAAACGUGUGGAAUACAUUAGUUCCAUAAUGUAUUCCUCCUAUUCAGUAGGGUCAUAGUGCUGUAGUAUAUUUUAGCUGACCAUUUCAAAUGACACUUUAAGGUAAAUUUUAUAGUUUUUAGAUUUGAAAUUGAAUAAUUCAUUUUUAGAGUGCUUGGUUCUAAUCUGUGACUUAAAAGCCAUACUUGAGCAAGUGUCAAACCUGCACUUGGUUUGUUCUUUCCUAGAUUUCCAAGAUUCUGGAUAUUAGGAGUUUUAAAUAAUCAUCUCAUCAGUUUUAUUACCAUAUAAUGAGUCUCUCAGCCUUGAGUUGCUGCUGAAUUUUCUGCAGCAACAAAAAUGCUUAAUUAUCUGGAGAGCAAUUUAAAGAACUCAGAAAUUUCAUUUAGUGUGUGAGAACUUUGCCCAGAACUUGAGUGCAAUACAAAGAGCCAUUAGAAUCAACCUUCAUUGAGAAGUUCACUAGAAAUCAAGGAGAAAUUUAUCCCUUCACCUGAAAUACAGUUUUAUCUGCACUGUUUUGGUGUCUUCUGUUUGAUACAGACAGAAGUGACAUGCACAUUUUUACCACUCAUUAUUGAAGUCAUGCUGCAGAGGAUGAAGUCUUCAGCUAAAGGUGAAGGUUCUUUGGGAUUAAAUACACAUUUUAUUACUGAUGUCAGGGAGAUUAGCAUUUUGUCCUUAGUUUCCAUAAAAAUCAACCUGGAAUCAUUCCCUAUUUUCAUGGUUUAACCCCAGCUAGCAGCCAAGCCCCACCCACACCCUUGCUCACCCUCCCAUCAGUGGAAUCAGGGAGAGAAUUGGGUGAAAGCUGGAAAACCCAUGGGUGGAGAUACAGACAGUUUAACAGGGAAAGCAAAAGCUGUGCACACAAGUAAAGAAUUAAGUCAUCUCUUCCAUGGGCAGGCAGGAGUUGAACCAUCUCCAGGAGAGCAGGGUCCCAUCACACGUGAUGGUGACUUGGGAGGACAAACACCAUCACUCCAAACAUCCCCCCUUCCUCCCUCUUCCCUCCACUUUAUACACUGAGCAUGAUGUCAUACGGUCUGGAAUAUUCCUUUGGUCAGUUUGGGUCACCUGCUCUGGCUCUGUCUGCUCCCAGCCUCCUGUGCACCCCCCAGUUCCUCACCAGCCUCAUGAAAAGGAGCAAAGGCUUUGGCUCUGCAUAAACCCUGCUCAGCAAUAACAAAAACAUCUCUACACUAUCAAGCCAGUGUUCAGCACAAAUCCCAAAUACCAACCACUGUGAAGAAAAAUAACUCUACCCCAUUCAAAACCAGCACACCAAUGCACUGCACUGAUUUUUCAACCCUGUCUUUGUAGCAUCUUUUGCAAAAUUACUUACACAGUAGACUGUAGAGACAGCUAAAUGAAAGGAUUUCACUCGUUCUCUCAAGCAACAGACAUUAAGCUACCUUCUAUUUCCUAGAGCCCUUGAGAAUAUAUUUUAGUUUAGCUGUGAUAUUAGUUCUGGUUGUAUCACUGAUACAAAAAAGAGUGUGUAAGAUUAGUUUCAUUGCCAGUAUCCUUAUCUGUACAUUUCACUUGACACUGGUGAGAUUUACAGAGACUCUUUGAAAAAUAUUUCUGCCAGUAUUUUCUUUUGCUACAGAACCAUCAUAUACCUUGAAAAAUACUGCUUAGGACACAGGUGCAUCCUUUUGUUUCCAAUUUCCUAACAGCUAAUGUUAGAUCAUGCAUAUUAUGUUUCCAAGACCUAGUUUUAAUCAAGCUUAUUUUCAAAAGUCCCCAUUUUUAUCUGUAUCUGGAUACACAGCCAAGACUGGAUAUUAUCAAGUUUUUUGACUUGAAAACCUUCAAGUAAAUGCUAGAAUAUUAACUGAAAAUUCUGAACUGAAAUACCAUUUACCUGACAAUAUCAUUACCACAUGAGUUUCAAGCCAGUCUUGACUACUUUCUACAUGUGUUUUAGGCCUUCAAAUUAUAGCCAGUUCUGUACUUCAAAGAGUGUAUUCAAGGAGAAUAUUUCAAAGACUCCUGUCUUUGAAUUGAUUAUUCAGUGACUGAUGCUAGAAAUAAAAAUUAAACAAAAAAUCCUACUUGAUGUUUGACAUAGAAUUUAGGAGGUUUUCCCUUGCAAUGUAUGUCUCUUUUUUUUUGGGUUAUUUUGUGAUGAUUGAUAAUUUCUUAAUCUCUAAAUACCCAUAUAUAUAAUGCAGAUCAAAUGCGUUUCACCUUAUUUAAGGUAUAUCUUAAAGACACUAAGGGGAAAGUAUGACAUCUGACUUCAGAUUAGCAAUCUAUUACUGUAUUGUUUCAGGUUUCAAGAUAAUUACCAUGCACUCUCUGGAAUUUGAACUAAUAACUCAAAGCUUAUUUGCUUAGAUAUUUUUGCUGUGGUGGACUUUGGCUGUGAAGCUUUUAAUGCUGGUAUUUAUAAGUGUGAUGUGACUUUAUUUCCUGAAAUGACAUUAAAAGUAUUUUUGAUUUAUGUGA